CCUACCCAUCCUAAUCCGCGAAUGCUCCGAUGUGCAGCCCAAGCUCUGGGCCCGCUACGGAAAAAAAGUCUCUCAUCCCUGACCUCGAGUGACCCAAGCCAGCAGUGUCACAAUCUACUCAGCAAACACAACUUCCCCACCCACAAUACGCUCUAGAUGAAAGUUCAAAACAAUCCCGAACUGCGGGAAGCGCCAUGAUGCCGUUUCACUAUUAAUGCGGAUCCCACUGAUGAGAGCUGCCAAAAACGCUUGAAGCGUCAUUGAAUUGUCAACGAAAAGAGUCCAACUCUGUAAAAUAUUUGAAGAGACUUAUUCUGAGCCAAAUAUGAGUGACCAUGGCCCUUGACACAGCCCUCAGGAGGUCCUGAGAACAUGUGCCCAAGGUGGUCCGGUACAGCUUGGUUUUACAUAUUUUAGGGAGAUAUGAGACUUCAGUUCAUUCAAGAAAUACACUGGUUGGGCCGGGCCUGGUGGCUCAUGCCUGUAAUCCCAGCACUUUGGGAGGCCUGGGCGGGUGGAUCAGCUGAGGUCAGGAAUUUGAGACCAGCCUGGCCAACAUGGUGAAACCCCAUCUUU
rnacentral:lncRNA from 10 species